GAGAAGCUUCUACCAGGGUUCGAUUCGAGCGCAGCGAGAAAGCGUUGCCGCAGGCAACGACCCGAAGGGCGAAGCGCGCAGCGCUGAGU
rnacentral:sRNA from 1 species